rnacentral:tRNA from 1 species
GGGGUUGUGGCUUAGAGGUAGAGCACUCGCCUUAGCAUGCGUGAGGCCCUGGGUUCAAUCCUCAGCACCA